rnacentral:rRNA from 1 species
UACGGGGGGAGCAAGCGUUGUUCGGAUUUACUGGGCGUAAAGGGCGCGUAGGCGGCCAGCGUAAGUCAGUUGUGAAAUCUCCGGGCUUAACUCGGAACGGUCAACUGAUACUGCGCGGCUAGAGUGCAGAAGGGGCAACUGGAAUUCUCGGUGUAGCGGUGAAAUGCGUAGAUAUCGAGAGGAACACCUGCGGCGAAGGCGGGUUGCUGGGCUGACACUGACGCUGAUGCGCGAAAGCCAGGGGAGCGAACGGG